rnacentral:misc_RNA from 1 species
CUAAGGAGCAUGUGCAUUCCAUUGGUCGGUGUGUCCGGGUGGAGUGUCAGAGGCACGAUUCGGGACUGUGUUUCCGACGUGUGGCUCAGGGGUGGAACAUAUGGCAGAGGCAUCGCCGGGUGUUGAUCGGUGGGAGUACAUGCUCGCUUUUGGGUGGGUGUCGGAAACUGUGGGUUGAUUAUUGCGGGGUGUGUGCACACUGUUGGGUCCUGAGGGGCCGGGCAAAUCCAGUCGCGGGGGUGCUCCUUUUGUGGGGUGUUCGUGUGGGUGGGGUUGGUUGGUUUCUUGUGCAGCCCAUGGUCUGAUCACUGGUUGGUGGUUGGGGGUGGGACUGAGCGUAUGUUGAGAACUACACAGUGGACGCGAGCAUCUUCCGCCCGUCAUGAUGGUCACCCUUUUGGGGUGGUGGUUGUGGUGGGUGGAGAUCAAAAUUGCAGCACUCGUUUCUGGUGUUCCUUCGGGGGUGCUGGUGGGGUGUUGUGAUCAUUGGUCUGCUCAUGGUGGUGCCGGAUGGUUUCGAUUGUCGGGUGUCAUGGUGGGCAGUUUUUAACUCAUGUGUGU